AGAUGUGAGGGCGAUCUGGCUGUGACAUCUGUCACCCCACUGAUCGCCAGGGUUGAUUUUGCUGAUCUGACUGGCUAGGCGGGUGUCCCCUUCCUCCCUCACUGCUUCAUAUGCUUCCCUCCCAAAGCUGCAAGCUGGGUAGAAGAGGAAGGCCUUCCUGGAAUAGAGAUGGACCAUGGAAGGGUGUAAGAGUAGCUGCGCUCCCCUGCUAGAACCCCCAAACAAGCUUUCAAGAAUGACCAAGUCAUCAAUGUCCAUAGUUUCCAGUAGAGAUUAACACUUGUGAUUCACAAAUACCAAACAUGCCAUGUGGAGAAUGAUUAUGGU
rfam:Erinaceus europaeus unplaced genomic scaffold scaffold00239, whole genome shotgun sequence